GAUGAACGCUAGCGGCAGGCCUAAUACAUGCAAGUCGAACGAGAUUAUCCGCUUGCUGGAUAUGAAAGUGGCGCACGGGUGCGUAACGCGUGAGCAACCUACCUCUGUCAGGGGGAUAGCCCGGCGAAAGUCGGAUUAACACCGCAUGACAUUAUUGAUGUGGCAUCACAUUAUAAUCAAAUAUUUAUAGGACAGAGAUGGGCUCGCGUGACAUUAGCUAGUUGGAGAGGUAACGGCUCACCAAGGCAACGAUGUCUAGGGGCUCUGAGAGGAGAAUCCCCCACACUGGUACUGAGACACGGACCAGACUCCUACGGGGGGCAGCAGUAAGGAAUAUUGGUCAAUGGAGGGAACUCUGAACCAGCCAUGCCGCGUGCAGGAUGACUGCCCUAUGGGUUGUAAACUGCUUUUGUCGGGGAAUAAACCUACGUUUGCGAACGUAGCUGAAUGUACCCGAAGAAUAAGGAUCGGCUAACUCCGUGCCAGCAGCCGCGGUAAUACGGAGGAUCCAAGCGUUAUCCGGAUUUAUUGGGUUUAAAGGGUGCGUAGGCGGUUCUUUAAGUCAGAGGUGAAAGGCGGCAGCUUAACUGUCGCAGUGCCUUUGAUACUGAAGAACUUGAAUUGGGUUGAGGAAUGCGGAAUGAGACAAGUAGCGGUGAAAUGCAUAGAUAUGUCUCAGAACCCCGAUUGCGAAGGCAGCAUUCCAAGCCUAUAUUGACGCUGAUGCACG
rnacentral:rRNA from 1 species